ACUCAAAGGAAUUGACGGGGACCCGCACAAGCGGUGGAGCAUGUGGUUUAAUUCGAAGCAACGCGAAGAACCUUACCAAGUCUUGACAUCCUUCUGACCGGUCAGUAACGUGACCUUUCCUUCGGGACAGAAGAGACAGGUGGUGCAUGGUUGUCGUCAGCUCGUGUCGUGAGAUGUUGGGUUAAGUCCCGCAACGAGCGCAACCCUUAUCCUUAGUAGCCAGCAGUUCGGCUGGGCACUCUAGGGAGACUGCCGGGGAUAACCCGGAGGAAGGUGGGGAUGACGUCAAAUCAUCAUGCCCCUUAUGAUUUGGGCUACACACGUGCUACAAUGGCGUAAACAAAGAGAAGCAGCCCUGUGAAGGUGAGCAAAUCUCAGAAAUAACGUCUCAGUUCGGAUUGUAGUCUGCAACUCGACUACAUGAAGCUGGAAUCGCUAGUAAUCGCGAAUCAGAAUGUCGCGGUGAAUACGUUCCCGGGUCUUGUACACACCGCCCGU
rnacentral:rRNA from 1 species